GAAAAGAAGUUAGAAUAAAAUACGAGUUCGACAUGGGCUAAAUCUCAGCAAUAUUAAAAAGUAUUUAAAACUAUAAUUCACAUUUUAUUUUCGAUACAGUUCAUCAAAUUCCCUACCGGAGCUGAGGCUGAUCGUGUGAUUGCACGCACAUACAGUAGGCAGUCCUCGGUGAGAAUGAAGCAAUCUACGUCAAUCGAAAGUUUCGGCACUCGAUCAAUGUGCAGAUGGUUUGCGAUGCAAAAUACGUCAUCAACAACGUCGUUGCAGCAUGCAAGAUGGCCGGGAUCAGUCCAUGAUGCACGAAUCCUUAACAUGAGCCACCUUGCAUGGAGGGUUUCUGCAAAACAGAAGGGAAAGUGGUUACCUCUUGGGAGACAGUGGCUACCCCCUUAGACGAUGGAUUCAAACCCCAUUUGGUCAAGACAAAGAUGACACACCUGCCAAGAAAGCCUAUAACAGGGCACAUGCACGGACACGAUGUUUGAUUGAAAUGACGUUUGGACAGCUGAAAAAAAGUUCAGGUGCUUGAAGGGGCAUGGAAUGCAGAUGGAACCAAGGAGAGUCUGUGAUGUUGUUGUUGCAUGUGUAGUCUUGUACAACAUAGCUAAGUUAUUAAAUGAACCACAAGACGAAGAAGAAGAAGCGGAUCAACAGCCUGAAAAUGAAGAGGGAUGAAAUAAUGAAGUCAAUGUGGAAGAAAAUGAUGCUCAUGAGUACCAGAUUGGCCAAAUGGUACAAAUGGAUAUUGUUAAUGAUUUCUUCACAUAAUCUAGCUAAUUUAUAUAUUUUUUUUGAAGACCCAGACCUGACCCAAAAGUAAAAUUGACAAAUCAUAUACCAAUCAAAAGUUUAUAAACUACUGAAUACAGCAAUGUAAGCCUUUUCACCACUAAGCAGUUGAAUAUUUUGCAUUAUAAUAGCUCUAAUUAUUGUGCUUUUCAUCGGCCUCAAAAUUGUGAAGUAAUGUGUUAAAAACGUUGUGAUUUCAUAGGUUUGUACACAUAAAAACUGAAAUAUUGUCAGUGCCUGUUUCUUCUUCAAAUGAAAAGAAAGUGAAUAUAUAAAUCUCGAAAUUUAAAAAAAUCAAUAUUUUUUUCUGUGUAAGAACCUUUGUAAUCGUAACACUCCUGACGUCACGUAAUUCAGUCUGUUAAAAAAAUCAAUAAAGCCUUUUUAAGCAAUAUACUCAGCUGUCUAGUAGUGAAUAUCAGACUCACGACUUUGCACUAUGUAAUUCCCACUUGUAAAUUUCACUUCUAGCCUCAAUCUUGGUCUUUAAGUUAUGUUUUCAGGUACAUUGCAGACUCUCUUUGGUACAUUUGAUUAAUGUAGAAAGUUGAUAACAUAAUAGGGUGGGUGGGGGAAUAUAAUUAAUCUCAUUGAAUGCAUUACCUACUUUUUAUCAAUAGAGUAUCCAUAUCAUAGCAUAAUAUCAAUUACUAAGGGUUGGUCAUUAUUAUUACUCCAGUAACACUUUCAUUUUCUAGAUGUGAUUUAAUUGCAAAUGUCAUCUAUUGCGUACCGUGAAUUAUGUAAUCCAUUACUUUUGCGAUAAUUAUUUGGAACCCUUAUGAUGUUUAACUGAUAGCUAUUUAUUGAAUAAAAGUAGUCUGAAGAGAGCAAGAGUAGCAUUGUGACAGCAACUUUGAAUGACAGAUUCAUGUCACCAUAUUCAAUAAACAGCUUCCCUAUUUCAGUAUAUAAUGAACAAAGGGUUUAGAAAAGCAACUCUUCAAAAUUAAAGCACUUUAUUAUUCAUGUCAGACUAUUUAUUGACAAUUGAAUAAUUCCAUCAAGGUAUAACUAUUUCUAUUUUAAACACAAAUGAACAAAUGUAUUCUCAUAGACAUAAAGAAGAAUAUGUACAUUAAAUAAAUAAAAUUACCAAGUAAAUGUCAUUUUUUUUAGAUAAUUGUAUAUAACUAUAUUCUAUAUACAUCAUAUAAAUAUGACUUGCCAACAGAUUUGAUAAAUUAAAGGCACUUGAAUUCACUGUAUCAUAAGUAAUGAAAUUAUUGAAUAUAUCUAUAAUAAUUUAUCUGUAUAUAGUUGUAUAAACUUCUUCAUAUAUUUUUAGAUACAUUAGCAUUAAUAAAUACAAUGGAAUUUAAGAAUUU